rnacentral:rRNA from 1 species
GGUAACCUGCCUCAAAGAGGGGGAUAGCCUCCCGAAAGGGAGAUUAAUACCGCAUAACAUUAUUUUAUGGCAUCAUAAAAUAAUCAAAGGAGCAAUCCGCUUUGAGAUGGCCCCGCGGCGCAUUAGCUAGUUGGUGAGGUAAGGGCUCACCAAGGCGACGAUGCGUAGCCGACCUGAGAGGGUGAUCGGCCACAUUGGAACUGAGACACGGUCCAGACUCCUACGGGAGGCAGCAGUGGGGAAUAUUGCGCAAUGGGGGGAACCCUGACGCAGCAACGCCGCGUGAGUGAUGAAGGUUUUCGGAUCGUAAAACUCUGUCUUUAGGGACGAUAAUGACGGUACCUAAGGAGGAAGCCACGGCUAACUACGUGCCAGCAGCCGCGGUAAUACGUAGGUGGCAAGCGUUGUCCGGAUUUACUGGGCGUAAAGAGUAUGUAGGUGGGUGCUUAAGUCAGAUGUGAAAUUCCCGGGCUUAACCUGGGCGCUGCAUUUGAAACUGGGCAUCUAGAGUGCAGGAGAGGAAAGUGGAAUUCCUAGUGUAGCGGUGAAAUGCGUAGAGAUUAGGAAGAACACCAGUGGC